GGUGUUGUAGCUCAGUGGAGGAGCACUUGCCUGGUAUGUUUGGGGCACUGGGUUCAAUUCUCAGCACCACAU
rnacentral:tRNA from 1 species